GUUGUAUUCUAUUUUGAGUCUAAUGUCUUGAAAUGCUAAGAAUAGAAUCAGUAUUUCUACAUUGUGAAUUCCAAAUUCUUUACUUUGUCCAGUUACCAUAGCAAUACCAAGGAACUUUAAAUGAAUAGGUGUCGCUAUGGUAAUUAGACAAAGAAUUCACAAGAAUGAAGCAAUAAUGAUCAUAUUAUUAAGAUUUGAGACAAUAAAAAAAUACUAAGUUUGUUCAUUCUGUAUAAUCAUGUAGCCUACCUGCUAUAAAGACACAUUUGUCAUUUUUCUCACAUUCAAUGUUUUGACAGAUAAAAAUGUCCAGUUUGUGGAAACUCAAACAAACCACUCCACUGGCACCAGAAAAAAGCUCUGGAACGCCCCUAGAUUUUGUGCAAUGCAUUGGUAAAGCACUGCUACAGCCCAGGUCAGUAGCCAGACACAACACAGCAAGACAGACUCCAAAUCAAGUGAGAAGAAAACAGAUAAGAUAUACUAUCAGAAGCAGGUCAGCAUGCUUCAAGUCAUCCUCAAAGCAUGAGAACACAUCAAUGCUCUCCAUUGAUCCACGGUAGGCUAGCAAAACUGUACAUUCUAUUAGAGACUAACAUUAAUCACACCAGAUGAAAAGAUAAUAAUGCUAGAGAUGUACAUUUGAGAAGGCCUAUGCAAGUCUGGCCAGACACAUGAUGUAGUGUGAGAUAGUAUCAGUUCCAGUUUCAAUCACCUUUCCAGUUGUAACACAGUUACAUGAAGAUGUGUGAUGUCGGUUCUUUCCGAUGCGUUCAGGGUUCUUUAUGAUGAGUUCUUAGUAUCCCAUUGUAACAGGUCGGGGACAGUCAAUGUGGACAAGUGGAGUCAAAGAGAGCUGUCUGAAUGGGACAUCAACAGGAUCAGCAGUGGUGGCGGCAGGAUUUUUUCACUGGGGUAGCUAUGGGGUAGCUUGUUCACUGCAUAGGGGUGGAUUACAUGCACACAUGCGAUCACGUCCGUGAGGUGAGGGAGAACGAUGUCGACCUCGAUCACCAAAUAUCUUCGAAUAUACAUAUGUACUCAACAUGUCAUUGAAAAUCAUGUUAGGGUUUGCAAGAAACCAACGGUUAACUCCCAAACAACAGCCCUCCAUGACUCCAAUGCCAAUUAGCUUGGGUUCAAUAUUUUACAGCUAGUAGCCUACUGUUAUAGCUAUCGGAAACAACACAGCUAUCUGCAAAUCAGUGCAACAAUUUUGAAACAAUAGGAAUCGGGUCGUAAAACAGAUCAAUGGUCAGAUACACACACAUCCUGAUUUAAACUAAUUUAGCUAGCGAUUUAAAAGAUCUGACUCUGGAUCAGGGGAUAGCUACAGGCAAAUUUGACAUAGUUCAAAGACAUAUCAGUCAGAUGGAUUUUUCAACCACUCAAAUUCAAGACAUUCUGUCAGAGCCAAUGAGGAGGCACGGUGUUAUGUAGGCUGGACCCUGAGCAGUCAGAGCUCGUUUGUGAGAACAGGAUUUUGAGAGACAGAAAAAUGUAGACUCAUUAUAUAUAUUGAAAUUAAAACAUUAUUCAUUUCUUUCUUGGGGGUGCUAGGCCUAUUUUUGACGGCACUUCAGCACUGUCUUGCCCCGGCCCAAAGCCUCCACUGAGGAUCAGGAAUUCCCGAAUGUCCAAGCCCUUUAGAAUACCAAGCGCAGUAUCACAGGUGAGUUGACUCUUGCUAACACAAACGCUUUCAUGAGUAUUGAGGGG
rnacentral:lncRNA from 13 species